CGAACGAUGAUGCCCAGCUUGCUGGGUGGAUUAGUGGCGAACGGGUGAGUAACACGUGAGUAACCUGCCCUUGACUUCGGGAUAACUCCGGGAAACCGGGGCUAAUACCGGAUAUGAGCCGCCUUCGCAUGGGGGUGGUUGGAAAGUUUUUCGGUCAGGGAUGGGCUCGCGGCCUAUCAGCUUGUUGGUGGGGUGAUGGCCUACCAAGGCGACGACGGGUAGCCGGCCUGAGAGGGCGACCGGCCACACUGGGACUGAGACACGGCCCAGACUCCUACGGGAGGCAGCAGUGGGGAAUAUUGCACAAUGGGCGAAAGCCUGAUGCAGCGACGCCGCGUGAGGGAUGAAGGCCUUCGGGUUGUAAACCUCUUUCAGCAGGGAAGAAGCGCAAGUGACGGUACCUGCAGAAGAAGCGCCGGCUAACUACGUGCCAGCAGCCGCGGUAAUACGUAGGGCGCAAGCGUUGUCCGGAAUUAUUGGGCGUAAAGAGCUCGUAGGCGGUUUGUCGCGUCUGGUGUGAAAACUCGAGGCUCAACCUCGAGCUUGCAUCGGGUACGGGCAGACUAGAGUGCGGUAGGGGAGACUGGAAUUCCUGGUGUAGCGGUGGAAUGCGCAGAUAUCAGGAGGAACACCGAUGGCGAAGGCAGGUCUCUGGGCCGCAACUGACGCUGAGGAGCGAAAGCAUGGGGAGCGAACAGGAUUAGAUACCCUGGUAGUCCAUGCCGUAAACGUUGGGCACUAGGUGUGGGGCUCAUUCCACGAGUUCCGUGCCGCAGCAAACGCAUUAAGUGCCCCGCCUGGGGAGUAC
rnacentral:rRNA from 1 species